CCUUUUAAAAGACCUAGUAAUAGGUAUGCUUUAGGAGGGGCUUGCGCCAUAUUAGUUAGUUGGUAGGGUAAUGGCCUACCAAGACGAUGAUGUGUAGCUGGACUGAGAGGUUGAACAGCCACAUUGGGACUGAGACACGGCCCAAACUCCUACGGGAGGCAGCAGUAGGGAAUUUUCGGCAAUGGAGGAAACUCUGACCGAGCAACGCCGCGUGAAUGACGAAGUACUUCGGUAUGUAAAGUUCUUUUAUCAAGGAAGAAAAGCAAAUGGCGAACCAUUUGUUUGCCGGUACUUGAUGAAUAAGCCCCGGCUAAUUAUGUGCCAGCAGCCGCGGUAAGACAUAAGGGGCAAGUGUUAUCCGGAAUUAUUGGGCGUAAAGGGUGCGUAGGCGGUCUAGUAAGUCAGUGGUGUAAUGGCAACGCUUAACGUUGUCCGGCUAUUGAAACUGCUAAACUUGAGUUAGAUAGAGGCGAGUGGAAUUCCAUGUGUAGCGGUAAAAUGCGUAAAUAUAUGGAGGAACACCAGAGGCGUAGGCGGCUCGCUGGGUCUUAACUGACGCUGAGGCACGAAAGCGUGGGGAGCAAACAGGAUUAGAUACCCUGGUAGUCCACGCCGUAAACGAUGAGUACUAAGUGUCGGGUUAAACCGGUACUGAAGUUAACACAUUAAGUACUCCGCCUGAGUAGUACGUACGCAAGUAUGAAACUUAAAGGAAUUGACGGGACUCCGCACAAGCGGUGGAUCAUGUUGUUUAAUUCGAAGAUACCCGAAAAACCUUACCAGGUCUUGACAUGUUUUUGCAAAAUGAUAGUAAUAUCGUGGAGGUUACCAGAAACACAGGUGGUGCAUGGUUGUCGUCAGCUCGUGUCGUGAGAUGUUAGGUUAAGUCCUAAAACGAGCGAAACCCUUAUCGUUAGUUGCCAGCACGUUAUGGUGGGGACUUUAACGAGACUGCCAAUGAUAAAUUGGAGGAAGGUGAGGAUCACGUCAAAUCAGCAUGCCCCUUAUGACCUGGGCUACAAACGUGAUACAAUGGCUGUUACAAAGGGUAGCUGAAACGCAAGUUCUUGGCCAAUCCCCAAAAACAGUCCCAGUCCGGAUUGAAGUCUGCAACUCGACUUCAUGAAGUUGGAAUCGCUAGUAAUCGCGAAUCAGCAUGUCGCGGUGAAUACGUUCUCGGGGUUUGUACA
rnacentral:rRNA from 1 species